rnacentral:rRNA from 1 species
GGGUUGUGAGGUUAAGCGACUAAGCGUACACGGUGGAUGCCCUGGCAGUCAGAGGCGAUGAAGGACGUGCUAAUCUGCGAUAAGCGUCGGUAAGGUGAUAUGAACCGUUAUAACCGGCGAUUUCCGAAUGGGGAAACCCAGUGUGAUUCGUCACACUAUCAUUAACUGAAUCCAUAGGUUAAUGAGGCGAACCGGGGGAACUGAAACAUCUAAGUACCCCGAGGAAAAGAAAUCAACCGAGAUUCCCCCAGUAGCGGCGAGCGAACGGGGAGCAGCCCAGAGCCUGAAUCAGUGUGUGUGUUAGUGGAAGCGUCUGGAAAGGCGCGCGAUACAGGGUGACAGCCCCGUACACAAAAAUGCACAUGCUGUGAGCUCGAUGAGUAGGGCGGGACACGUGGUAUCCUGUCUGAAUAUGGGGGGACCAUCCUCCAAGGCUAAAUACUCCUGACUGACCGAUAGUGAACCAGUACCGUGAGGGAAAGGCGAAAAGAACCCCGGCGAGGGGAGUGAAAAAGAACCUGAAACCGUGUACGUACAAGCAGUGGGAGCACGCUUAGGCGUGUGACUGCGUACCUUUUGUAUAAUGGGUCAGCGACUUAUAUUCUGUAGCAAGGUUAACCGAAUAGGGGAGCCGAAGGGAAACCGAGUCUUAACUGGGCGUUAAGUUGCAGGGUAUAGACCCGAAACCCGGUGAUCUAGCCAUGGGCAGGUUGAAGGUUGGGUAACACUAACUGGAGGACCGAACCGACUAAUGUUGAAAAAUUAGCGGAUGACUUGUGGCUGGGGGUGAAAGGCCAAUCAAACCGGGAGAUAGCUGGUUCUCCCCGAAAGCUAUUUAGGUAGCGCCUCGUGAAUUCAUCUCCGGGGGUAGAGCACUGUUUCGGCAAGGGGGUCAUCCCGACUUACCAACCCGAUGCAAACUGCGAAUACCGGAGAAUGUUAUCACGGGAGACACACGGCGGGUGCUAACGUCCGUCGUGAAGAGGGAAACAACCCAGACCGCCAGCUAAGGUCCCAAAGUCAUGGUUAAGUGGGAAACGAUGUGGGAAGGCCCAGACAGCCAGGAUGUUGGCUUAGAAGCAGCCAUCAUUUAAAGAAAGCGUAAUAGCUCACUGGUCGAGUCGGCCUGCGCGGAAGAUGUAACGGGGCUAAACCAUGCCCGAAGCUGCGGCAGCGACGCUUAUGCGUUGUUGGGUAGGGGAGCGUUCUGUAAGCCUGUGAAGGUGUACUGUGAGGUAUGCUGGAGGUAUCAGAAGUGCGAAUGCUGACAUAAGUAACGAUAAAGCGGGUGAAAAGCCCGCUCGCCGGAAGACCAAGGGUUCCUGUCCAACGUUAAUCGGGGCAGGGUGAGUCGACCCCUAAGGCGAGGCCGAAAGGCGUAGUCGAUGGGAAACAGGUUAAUAUUCCUGUACUUGGUGUUACUGCGAAGGGGGACGGAGAAGGCUAUGUUGGCCGGGCGACGGUUGUCCCGGUUUAAGCGUGUAGGCUGGUUUUCCAGGCAAAUCCGGAAAAUCAAGGCUGAGGCGUGAUGACGAGGCACUACGGUGCUGAAGCAACAAAUGCCCUGCUUCCAGGAAAAGCCUCUAAGCAUCAGGUAACAUCAAAUCGUACCCAAACCGACACAGGUGGUCAGGUAGAGAAUACCAAGGCGCUUGAGAGAACUCGGGUGAAGGAACUAGGCAAAAUGGUGCCGUAACUUCGGGAGAAGGCACGCUGAUAUGUAGGUGAAGCGACUUGCUCGUGAGCUGAAAUCAGUCGAAGAUACCAGCUGGCUGCAACUGUUUAUUAAAAACACAGCACUGUGCAAACACGAAAGUGGACGUAUACGGUGUGACGCCUGCCCGGUGCCGGAAGGUUAAUUGAUGGGGUCAGCGCAAGCGAAGCUCUUGAUCGAAGCCCCGGUAAACGGCGGCCGUAACUAUAACGGUCCUAAGGUAGCGAAAUUCCUUGUCGGGUAAGUUCCGACCUGCACGAAUGGCGUAAUGAUGGCCAGGCUGUCUCCACCCGAGACUCAGUGAAAUUGAACUCGCUGUGAAGAUGCAGUGUACCCGCGGCAAGACGGAAAGACCCCGUGAACCUUUACUAUAGCUUGACACUGAACAUUGAGCCUUGAUGUGUAGGAUAGGUGGGAGGCUUUGAAGUGUGGACGCCAGUCUGCAUGGAGCCGACCUUGAAAUACCACCCUUUAAUGUUUGAUGUUCUAACGUUGACCCGUGAUCCGGGUUGCGGACAGUGUCUGGUGGGUAGUUUGACUGGGGCGGUCUCCUCCUAAAGAGUAACGGAGGAGCACGAAGGUUGGCUAAUCCUGGUCGGACAUCAGGAGGUUAGUGCAAUGGCAUAAGCCAGCUUGACUGCGAGCGUGACGGCGCGAGCAGGUGCGAAAGCAGGUCAUAGUGAUCCGGUGGUUCUGAAUGGAAGGGCCAUCGCUCAACGGAUAAAAGGUACUCGGGGAUAACAGGCUGAUACCGCCCAAGAGUUCAUAUCGACGGCGGUGUUUGGCACCUCGAUGUCGGCUCAUCACAUCCUGGGGCUGAAGUAGGUCCCAAGGGUAUGGCUGUUCGCCAUUUAAAGUGGUACGCGAGCUGGGUUUAGAACGUCGUGAGACAGUUCGGUCCCUAUCUGCCGUGGGCGCUGGAAACUGAGGGGGCUGCUCCUAGUACGAGAGGACCGGAGUGGACGCAUCACUGGUGUUCGGGUUGUCAUGCCAAUGGCACUGCCCGGUAGCUAAAUGCGGAAGAGAUAAGUGCUGAAAGCAUCUAAGCACGAAACUUGCCCCGAGAUGAGUUCUCCCUGACUCCUUGAGAGUCCUGAAGGAACGUUGAAGACGACGACGUUGAUAGGCCGGGUGUGUAAGCGCAGCGAUGCGUUGAGCUAACCGGUACUAAUGAACCGUGAGGCUUAACCUUACAACGCCGAAGGUGUUU